rnacentral:lncRNA from 1 species
UUUAGUCGGCCGAUCGAUCACUGAAGUAGUAAUGGCCUCCGCCAACAGCUGGACCCUCGAGAUCGCGUCGCCGGUGGCUCCGCAGCGCCUGUUCCGCGCCGCCGUGAUGGACUGGCACACCCUGGCGCCCAAGGUCGCCUCCCACGUCGUCGCCAGCGCGCAGCCCGUGGAGGGCGACGGCGGCGUUGGCAGCGUCAGGCAGUUCAACUUCACCUCAGGUAAGUGCCCAGCCCAGGCCAGCAUGCUCUCUCUCUCUUUCGCCUGAUCGAUCAAACAGCUAAGCGCACGACGUCGUGCGGUCGCUCUUGCAGUCAUGCCGUUCAGCUUCAUGAAGGAGAGGCUCGAGUUCCUGGACGCGGACAAGUGCGAGUGCAAGAACACGCUCAUCGAGGGCGGCGGCAUCGGCGUCGCCAUCGAAACGGCGACGUCGCACAUCAAGGUGGAGCCCGCGGCCGGCGGCGGGAGCGUGGUGAAGGUCGAAUCCACUUACAAGCUGCUGCCGGGCGUGGAGGUGAAGGACGAGAUCGCCAAGGCCAAGGAGUCCGUCACCGCCAUCUUCAAGGGUGCCGAGGCCUACCUCGUCGCCAACCCCGACGCCUACAACUAAACCAUUGGACUGGGAUGAGCUUCAUUUCCCUUCCGUCUUGUUUGGAUAUACAAGGGUAUUGUGUACGGAGAUUGGGUUUUCUUUCCCCUUCUUUUUUGUUUUCAUACAAAAUAAAAUAAAGCUGCUCUAAAGCAGCGUGCGGUUUUUGGACUCGAGAUGGUAUGAUUAUAUAUAUGUACGUGCUGUCCUUGUGUUGUAUACCGUCAUGGUUUUCUGUGUGGGAAGAAAAAGGGCAUUCUGUUUUAGAAUCCUAUGUAGGUUUGACUGAAUAAGGAAUUUUACUUGCUCUCUUCGUUAUAAAAAUAAUUAUUCCUAUAUUAUUCGUGCUUAUUAAAAAAAGUUUUUAAAGUUUAACUAUAUUUAUAGAAGAUAUUAGCAAUGUUUGUAUCUUUAAAUAAUUUAUUAUGAUCGAAAAACAGGUUUACAGAUCCAUCUAAUUGUACUAAUUAUGUAUUAUAAAUAUUAUAAUUUUCUUGUAUACAUUUAUUUAAAUUUAAAUAUAAUUAUCUUUUCAAAAAAUGUCAAGUUUUCCAGAGCAAUCUGACAGCCACUGAACUGUAACAUAGUAGCAUCAGACAGUAAGAUGUCACUCUCCCUGUAAAAAAAAAAAUAAAUGCAACUGCAAAAUUUAUACCAAUCAAACUAACUUAACUUUGAUUAAAUUUGUUACAAAUAUUAUCAAUAUACAUGUCAGUACAUAUUUAUAGGACUUUAUAUAAUAUUAGUUAAAUUUAAAAAUGAUUGAUCUUAAAAAUAAUAAGAAUAGCUUUUUUUGGACGGGUAGAGUAGAUUUGACCAUCUUUGGAGGCAAAAUCGCGUAAUGUCAAUGACCUCAUAUCUUGGGCAACCAAUGUCGCCAUCUUUACUAUACAAUAGGUCGAUUCUGAGCAUGACCGGACAAUCCGAGCACUACCUUAGAGUGUCCGGCCUCCAUCAAACCGUUCGACACUUUCUGCCAUACUGUUUGGAGCCACAUCGAGCCUGCCACAUGGCUCGGAGGUGAUGCCUAGCACAACCGGACAACUGGGUAUAACCUCGAAUCGUCCAGUCCCUUCACGGAUUGUCCGGCACCAUAUGCCGGUCAGUCUAGAGCCACACCGAGCCCUCCACGUGGCUCACAGGAGAUGCCUAAGAUAAUCGGACAAUCCGAGCAUAAUAUCAGACUGUUCGGUACCUUCGUGGAUCGUCCGACCACCCAGACCAGACUGUUCGGGAACGUCUACGCAGAACAUGAUGCUGCCCACAACACACAAUUUUCCACCCGUCUUAGCAGUACUACUCUCUCUCACCUACAAUACAUCAAAGCCACAACAUGCCACCACCCGUGCAUGAGACUGAAUACUUUUCGGUCCCUAGGGAGCCAGGGAAAUUCACCCCAACAGUGGGAUGCAUUACCCGUAUGCCUUAGGGACCUAUAUCAGAUGCCACCUUUACUAGUUGUAGUGCACAAGGCCGACAUGAGGAUAACCGGACACCCGAGCCCCAUGUCUCGAGGACCGACGGGUUACCAUCGAUCACUAUAGAUAAAGUUCGGGAAGAAAUAACCGAACUAUUUCAAGAUAAAUUAGGUGUUAGUGUAUCUGGCCCAGGACAGUCCUAUCAGAGGCCAUACGACACUCGAUGGGACAUCGUUCCAUACCCUCCGGGGAUUAGUGUGCCGAAUUUCUCCAAAUUCAGAGAUGAAGGCAGUAGAAGCAUUCACGAGAACAUGUGUCAAUUCCUAGCACAAUUAGGUGAGUUUACCGACAUAGAAGCUUUUCGUGUUCACAUGUUCUCAUUAUCCCAUACUCGCACUACAUUCGCUUGGUAUGAUAACUUGCCUCCUAACUCGAUUAGUUCCUAGGAUGAUCUGGAGCAUAAGUUUCAUGAACACUUUUCUCUCUCGAAAUUACAAGUUAGAUUUAGCUGAUAUGUCAUUGCUCCAGUAAGGGGAUUAUCAAUCAAUUAAUGAUUAUAUCUGGAGAUUCUGGAAUACUAGAAAUCGAUGUUUUCAAAUCUAAGGCGCAGAUAGGCAACUAGCAGGGUUGAAUUUCAAUGGGUUGCGUCCAUACUUGAAAGAAAAAAUAUAUGUCACCCAAUUCUUUUCGCUAACUCAGUUGCAUCAGUGGGCUUUGGCUUGCAAAACCGAAGCAGAUAGAACUAUCUCGUCAUCGUGACAGUAGUAGCUCAAAUAACGAGUCGAAAGAGUUACAUGUCACUAAGCUUGUUUGGUCUGUAAAGGCCAAACUUUCUGCUUGCUCUUCCCUGAAGUUGGUUCAAAAGAAUCGGUAAGGAGAAGCUAAAUUCACAUUUAAUUUUGCUAAAUGUGACAAGAUAUUUGAUGAAUUACUUAAAAGUGGCAACAUUAAAUUGUCUCACACAAUUCCGUUGAUAGAGGAAUUGAAAUGAUGUUCUUAGCAUGGCUCCUUUUCUCAUGCCACUAAUAAUUGUAACAUCUUGCAUCGACAAAUACAAUCGACUAUAAAUGAGUGCUGAUUGAGCAUUCUAGAAAAGUAGGUUGACAUGCAACCCUUCCCUAUCAACAUAGUGGAUUUGGUGGGUAAGAAAGUUUUGGUUGGGUCAGAUGUGGCCGAUAAAGAUUAAGGCAAGAACAAUAUCAUUGGCGAUCCUCGCACGCCAAGUCAGUUACGAGGAGUGGUUACUUGGAAGGCUCCGAACAAGAGAAUGACUAAUAAGGCUGAAGGCCCUGGAGCGCAAACACGACCGGAUACCUGAUUACGAUCACCUGUCUUGCGUGCGUCGGAUGGUCCGGGACCUAAGGCUGAUUAGUCUAAGAAUGACCAGAAGCAACAAUGGCCUCAGACCUUCAGACCACGACAUCUAGAAGAAGGUAUAUGUAAGCAAAAUACAUCUAAAGCAUCUAACUGACUCAUUAGUGCUAGCCCUUCUUUUGAACAACUUCUUUCUAAGUAUAUGAAUAAGAAGGUCGUUUCACACAAUCGAUCAACAAAACGAUCAAGAUCAUCCACAACGAGGAAGCGAUCUAUGCAGGGGCAAAAGCUGAAUAAACCGGCCCAAGAUGUGGUGCAACCAAUGUCGCCUACUCAUCCGCUCCAGGAAUGUUGUGUUACUAUACACCAGUCUACUCAUCGAUGAUGUUUUAUCCUGCUAACAUGUGAAAAAGUAUGACGAUGAAUCUAUAUUACAUGCAUAGUCCAUUUGCUUAUUUGGGCUAUGGGCACCACAGUUUUGUCUCUUUUGACAUAUUGAUAGUCAUGGCGGAAGAAGAUGCAGUCCUAAUUGGCCUUUGUACAUUAGAUGUUCUAUUAAAUAACUAUAUUCUUUGGUUGAAGAGUCGGUGACUCCCAUUGGGUUGAGUUCUUAUUUCAGAAAUAAGGCGAUUUGUGAAAUUUAUUGUUUCCCGAAAAACGUUGACGGUACAUGUGCUUUUGGUUCGUGACCUCCACCAAAAGGCAGGUGUGUUGGACACCAAAUUUGGCACCUAUACGGCCAGAUGGUAUGGCUAUGUGGCCCGGACGAUCCAUUAUUAGAUUAGUUUAGGCGAUAGUCCUUAUCCUGCACGUGCUUAUCCAACCAAUCACACAAGUAUCUCUUGGGAAGCGCCUAGGAACGGGUCCAGAGUCCAGACCUCCACCCCUAUAUACAAGGGGGUACGGCCGAUUAAGACACACAUAAUCCAAUCCUACCUUUAUUUAUCAUUCAUGCCCUAGGAGUAGAUGUAGUGUAGCUCUAGUUAUAGUUUCCCAUCUCAAUCUUCACAUCUUUUCGACUCUACGUCGUCUAGAGGCGCUUUGGUGGCCUGCCGACUCCAAAGCAACCCUAGGAUGUUUCCCCUCUGAUGGGGUCCCUCCCAGAAGCGCGAUCUAGGUUUUGUAGGAGCUCAUUGUUAUCUCUGUGCACAUCGUGGACGGUCUGGUGACUUAACGCAGACAGUCCGCCGCCUCACAGAGAGGUUUCCCAAGAUCUUGUUCCCCGCGAGCGAGAUCUAAGGAUCAUAGGUGUUUGGCCCAAAAAACACCAACAACAAAAAAAAGUUUCGCAUUUUAAAGGGACAUAAGGCUUGUUAUAGAGAUCAGCUGACCGUGACAUAUUUUGAAAAACAAAGAGAGAAUUUUAUUGUACCCUUGCUCCUAAUGAUCCCUCCCUCCUUUGGCUUAGACCACGGUGGUCUUCUGUAUAUAUGGUAGUACAAAGCAGUAUUUUAUACUGUAGAUUAUAAUAUUUAUAUAGUGGAGUUUGAAAUAGAAUAUACGAUAAUAAAUAGAAUAAAUAAGGUCAUAUUUAGAAGCAACCUAGUUUUUAAGAAUCUAGUUCCUAUCUCUGGUUUCUAUAAACUCGUUUAUAAUGUUUGUAACCAUCAUAAUUUUCAUAAACUAGUUUUAGCUAGGAGAUGCUAGCUUCUUGAUGUUUUUAAAAAAACUAAUAAUUUAGUUUCUAUAAAUUGGAAUAUAAAGUGAUAUUGAAAUAUAAAGUGAUAUGUUUAGAACCAGCUAAGUUUUAAUAAACCAGGUUUUUAAAAUCUGAGUGCUUCCAAACAGAUCCCUAAGCUACUCGAGACAUCCUGAUAAACCCUUCGAUGUGUGAUCACGCGCGGCGGACGCCUCGCGCCCCAGCAGCUCUCCUCAUGCUCCCACACCGGCGCCACCUCUAGGCCUCUGCUCCCGCGCGAACCACGCCGGCACGCCGCGGCGGCCAUGAACUUGUGCACGACCACAUGGUGCUCCGCGAGGACGAUGUGCACGACCAUGGUCUAUAGUCGGCAGCGAAGAACAAUCAUGUCAACACAAUUGAAGAAAUGCGUUGGCACUUGUUUUCCUUUUUCAAAAGCUAAAAUGCAGUCACAUGUUCGCUAGAGAAUGCAUUAACGUUUAACAGUUUGUUUGUUAUUUUCCUCCCUUUUUUGUCAUAUACCAACCCAAAGUGCGAAAGGCGGCGCCAAUUCCGUCAGCGUUCCUCGUGUUUCGACUAGACAUUGACAAAGAGCGCGCUCCACAACGCUUUCUGACGUGUGUUUUCGACGCCGGCCUAAUCAAUAAAGCUCGCUCGACCGACGACAGAGCCGUCCAUCAUGGAAAAGACCGACGACUCGCGCAUCAACUUGAGCCUUCACGACACCAACCACGCCUUCACCAACUUGAGCCCUCACGACACCAACCACGCCCGCUGCCUUCACAGGCACAGCCGCACCCGCACAGCACAACAUCCUAUUUAAAUCCCUUGUUGCCGCUCGUUUCAGCCAGCAACACAAGUAACAGCAGCCCGAUCUUGCAUCAGCUAGCUAACUAAGCAAGUAAGCUAAGCUAGCCCUAGGCAACGAGCCGAGCCGUCAAGCUCAUCGCAGACCACGAGCCAUGGCCUCCACCAACAGCUGGACUGUUGAGAUCGCCUCGCCUGUCGCCGCGCCGCGCCUCUUCCGCGCCGCCGUGAUGGACUGGCACACCCUGGCCCCCAAGGUCACCUCCCACGUCGUCGCCAGCGCCCACCCCGUGGAGGGCGAGGGCGGCGUCGGCAGCGUCAGGCAGUUCAACUUCACCUCAGGUACGUACGUUCAAAAACUUCC